UGGCAGACGGGUGAGUAACACGUGGUCAACCUACCCUAAAGUGGGGGAUAACUAGCCGAAAGGUUAGCUAAUACCGCAUAUGUCUUCGACCGGCAUCGGAUGAAGAUAAAAGGAGCAAUCCGCUUUUGGACGGGACCGCGCCCGAUUAGCUAGUUGGUGAGGUAACGGCCCACCAAGGCACCGAUCGGUAGCUGGUUUGAGAGAGCGACCAGCCACACUGGAACUGAGAAACGGUCCAG
rnacentral:rRNA from 1 species